rnacentral:rRNA from 1 species
AUUGAACGCUGGCGGCAUGCUUUACACAUGCAAGUCGAACGGUAACAGGCCGCAAGGUGCUGACGAGUGGCGAACGGGUGAGUAAUGCAUCGGAACGUGCCCAGGCGUGGGGGAUAACGCAGCGAAAGCUGCGCUAAUACCGCAUACGAUCUAUGGAUGAAAGCGGGGGACCGUAAGGCCUCGCGCGAUUGGAGCGGCCGAUGUCAGAUGAGGUAGUUGGUGGGGUAAAGGCGCACCAAGCCGACGAUCUGUAGCUGGUCUGAGAGGACGACCAGCCACACUGGGGCUGAGACACGGCCCAGAAUCCUACGGGAGGCAGCAGUGGGGAAUUUUGGACAAUGGGCGCAAGCCUGAUCCAGCAAUGCCGCGUGCAGGAAGAAGGCCUUCGGGUUGUAAACUGCUUUUGUACGGAGCGAAAAGGCUCUCUCUAAUACAGGGGGCUCAUGACGGUACCGUAAGAAUAAGCACCGGCUAACUACGUGCCAGCCGCCGCAGUAACAC